CCUACGGGGGGCUGCAGUGGGGAAUAUUGGACAAUGGGGGGAACCCUGAUCCAGCCAUGCCGCGUGUGUGAAGAAGGCCCUCGGGUUGUAAAGCACUUUCAGUGAGGAAGAACGCCUGGUGGUUAAUACCCAUCAGGAAAGACAUCACUUACAGAAGAAGCACCGGCUAACUCCGUGCCAGCAGCCGCGGUAAUACGGAGGGUGCGAGCGUUAAUCGGAAUUACUGGGCGUAAAGCGCGCGUAGGUGGCUUGAUAAGCCGGUUGUGAAAGCCCCGGGCUCAACCUGGGAACGGCAUCCGGAACUGUCAAGCUAGAGUGCAGGAGAGGAAGGUAGAAUUCCCGGUGUAGCGGUGAAAUGCGUAGAGAUCGGGAGGAAUACCAGUGGCGAAGGCGGCCUUCUGGACUGACACUGACACUGAGGUGCGAAAGCGUGGGUAGCAAACAGGAUUAGAUACCCUUGUAGUC
rnacentral:rRNA from 1 species